AUUAUUGAUUUUGUAUAAUCGAUUGUUUUACGUAAAAUCUGGAAAUGAUUUUUUGAACGUUGCUAAUAAUCGAUUGUUGAUCUUUGAUAAUCGAUUGUUACGCGUAAAAUCUGGGAUUGAUUUCUGGAACGAUUGGCAAACAAUCGAUUGUGGCUUCUUGACAAUCCGUUGUCAUUCAGUAAAAUUAGCAACUCUUAGUUGGCAAAUAGGCAACGG
rnacentral:lncRNA from 1 species